AUGGCGAGCAGCCGAGCACCACCACAACAGGAAAACGGAAGAGUUAGACGCCGGCCGUCGGCACCAACAGCCGGAGCUCCUCCGUUGCAUCGCUGGAGGUGGCAUAGCGCCCAUGGAGGGGAGCCAUGGCGAGGAACGAGCUGGGCCGAGCCUGGUGCUGCGAGCGAGCGCGGCAUGGCGGCUGCGACUGCGAGCUAG
rnacentral:rRNA from 1 species